GAGUCUUCAGAUCAAACAUCUCCUUUGACCGCAUUCCAAUUCUGCGUUGGCUCGAUUUAUAAGGUAACAGUCGAUUCUAAUAGAUUCAAAAAGAAUAACUUCCAGCCCAAUGCCGAAUAACAAAUACCGUAAAGUGUCUCUUUUAGAUGCGGUGUAGUAAUAAUAUUUAUUAAUAUGAUAAAUAUUAAUUCCUUGGGUUUCUUAUGAACUUCUUAUGGAACCAAAAUAAAGCAAAAAAUCCGACAUUAAAAGCCUCUGCUUGGAGAGAUUUCCUGUUCCUGCAAACCUCAUGAAUACAAAAUGGGGCCCCGAGAUUGCACGUUCAUCGGAUAAUUUACCGGAGAACAUUCAUCACGCUCGCUCCCGAACGUUCCGAAAAAUAGACCUAAUUUUGGCAGGCGCGGCUUUCCACCACGGGGGGAUACAAUUAAAUCCGGUAAUUCUGUUCCGAGGAAGAGAAGUCCCAUCGCCAAAAUAAGGACGCCUGGCGACCUUUAUUGAAAUUCCUAGAAAUGAAUCUCCAGGCUAAUAUGGCACAGUCCGAUUCCCGACACGUUUUCCAUUAGACGCGUCGAGAUGCUUCAGAACAAAUGGAAUUACAAUCACGAAAGUUCAAAAAGCCGUCGAUUCGUUUUGACGUGAUGUAUGGAGCCCGGCCCAAAUGAGAUGCGAAAAAUUUGUGCAAAAAAAAGAACACCGAGGCAAAUGGGAUGAUUUAACUACAACUGAAGCUGAAGGUGGCAUUUCGGAGGGGGAGCAAACGUCAACGAGGUGUGGCAUACUUUAGCCUGACACCAGGCCAAAUAGUCAUCAGAACAUGGUCGAGCGAAUGUUUUAUCUCGAACGAAAGUAAAUCAUGAAUAAAAUUCUCAUUUAGCGUUCCCAGAGGAAAUUAUGCAAAUCGUGCGGGCAUGGCGGCAAACAACAGUCAUAAAAGCGAUGCAAAACAAAAACAAGAGACAAACAAACGUUAUGGAGGGAAGCUGUUUUCGGUUCGUGCUUCGCUCCCAUAUAUCUUUUGGCCUUGGCUAGUCAGGGUGAAAGUGAGUUUGUCUGGGGCAGUUUGAAAGAAAGUUGGUGUGGAUCAUGAGUGUGAUAAAAGAGAUAGAAAUAUUGCUAACGACUUAUUCGAAACUAAGGCGAACAUCAUGGAUCUCAAAGAAAAGAGUUUUAGAGUUUGUUUUCUAAUCGCUUUAAUCACCGAACGCAGUACCGUCGGAUCCCUCCUUUUCUUGUUUUUGUUAUUGGAAUGCUCUUCUCAUGUCUAAAACACAUGUUCAAUUAUCGUCAGAAAAUAAUUAUAAUCACUUUUCAUUUUUGCCUGUCAAAUUUAUUCUCAAAAAGCAUGGGGGUCAGUAGGCAGCACCGUACAACAUUACAACUCUUGCAUACUUUUGAAAACUUGAGAAACUUGGGUGG